UGCUAAAAUCAAAACUGCGUCAGCCAGU
rnacentral:sRNA from 1 species